CCUACGGGCGGCAGCAGUGAGGAAUAUUGGUCAAUGGGCGCGAGCCUGAACCAGCCAAGUAGCGUGAAGGAUGACUGCCCUACGGGUUGUAAACUUCUUUUAUAAAGGAAUAAAGUGAGGCACGUGUGCCUUUCUGUAUGUACUUUAUGAAUAAGGAUCGGCUAACUCCGUGCCAGCAGCCGCGGUAAUACGGAGGAUCCGAGCGUUAUCCGGAUUUAUUGGGUUUAAAGGGAGCGUAGAUGGGUUGUUAAGUCAGUGGUAAAAGUUCGGGGCUCAACCCCGUCCGGCCGUUGAAACUGGGGACCUUGAGUGGGCGAGAAGAAGGCGGAAUGCGUGGUGUAGCGGUGAAAUGCAUAGAUAUCACGCAGAACCCCGAUUGCGAAGGCAGCUUUCCGGCGCCCAACUGACGCUGAGGCACGAAAGUGCGGGGAUCGAACAGGAUUAGAUACCCGAGUAGUC
rnacentral:rRNA from 1 species